UUUAAGAAAAAAUUUAAAGUCCAAUCUGCUCACUGAAAUUUUUUAAAGAGCCGCGAUAUUCUAAUCGUGCAAAGGUAGCAUAAUCAAUAGUUUUUUAAUUGAAAACUGGAAUGAAAGAUUAAACGAAAUAUUAACUUUCUUUAUUUUAUAAAUUGAAUUUAAAAUUUAAAUUAAAAUAUUUAAAUAUUGCUAAAAGACGAGAAGACCCUAUAGAUUUUUAUUUUUAAUAUAUUUAAAAAUUUAAAAUACAUUAAAAAUUUGAUUGGGGCGAUAAUGUCAAAAAUAAAACUGAAUUUCAUAUAACCAAAAAUAACUGAAGUUUUAGAUUUAAAAAUUUUAAAUGAAAGAUUAAAUUACCUUAGGGAUAACAGCGUAAUUUUGUUUAAGAGUUCAUAUCUAUAAUAAAGUUUGCGACCUCGAUGUUGAAUUAAGAAAUUUACUGGAGUAGAAAUUAGUACAAAUUAGUCUGUUCGACUAUUAAAUUC
rnacentral:rRNA from 1 species